rnacentral:rRNA from 1 species
AUUGAACGCUGGCGGCGUGCCUAACACAUGCAAGUCGAGCGGUAACAGGUGUAGCAAUACAUGCUGACGAGCGGCGAACGGGUGAGUAAUGCUUCGGAAUCCACCCAAUGGUGGGGAAUAACCAGCCGAAAGGUUGGCUAAUACCGCAUACGUCCCACGGGAGAAAGCAGGGGAUCGCAAGACCUUGCGCCAAUGGAUGAGCCGAAGUCGGAUUAGCUAGUUGGAGGGUAACGGCCUACCAAGGCGACGAUCCGUAGCUGGUCUGAGAGGACGACCAGCCACACUGGGACUGAGACACGGCCCAGACUCCUACGGGAGGCAGCAGUGGGGAAUAUUGGACAAUGGGGGAAACCCUGAUCCAGCGACGCCGCGUGUGUGAAGAAGGCCUGC